AAUCCGUGUUGCAGGCACUUCCUCAGGAGCUCUUUGAACCUUUCCCAUGUCUCAAAUAGAGACUUCAAUUCCAACUGAACGAAGGAUGAGAUCUCAUUCCUAAGCUU